rnacentral:rRNA from 1 species
CAAAUGACUCUCGGCAACGGAUAUCUCGSUCACGCAUCGAUGAAGAACGUAGCAAAAUGCGAUACUUGGUGUGAAUUGCAGAAUCCCGUGAACCAUCGAGUUUUUGAACGCAAGUUGCGCCCGAAGCCAUUCGGCCGAGGGCACGUCUGCCUGGGCGUCACGC